rnacentral:rRNA from 1 species
GCGACAGGCCUAACACAUGCAAGUCGAGGGGCAGCACAAGGAGCAAUCUGAGGUGGCGACCGGCGCACGGGUGAGUAACACGUAUGCAACCUGCCUGUAAGCGGGGAAUAACCCGUUGAAAGACGGACUAAUACCGCAUAAUACUAAAUUACUGCAUGGUAAUUUAUUUAAACAUUUAUGGCUUACAGAUGGGCAUGCGCAUGAUUAGCUAGUUGGAGAGGUAACGGCUCCCCAAGGCAACGAUCAUUAGGGGUUCUGAGAGGAAGGUCCCCCCACACUGGUACUGAGACACGGACCAGACUCCUACGGGAGGCAGCAGUGAGGAAUAUUGGUCAAUGGACGAGAGUCUGAACCAGCCAAGUCGCGUGCAGGAAGAAUGUUCCCUAUGGAUUGUAAACUGCUUUUGCAGGGGAAUAAAGUGCAUCACGUGUGAUGUUUUGUAUGUACUCUGCGAAUAAGGAUCGGCUAACUCCGUGCCAGCCGCGGC